AAACCGCUCAGAGGUAAACGGGUGGAUCCGAAAAGUCGACCAGCGGAAUUCAGCGCCGCGCGCGGCUCUGGGCUGCCGCGGUUUGGGAUCCCUGGGACCCAACCGCGGUGCCGACCGGGGCUCCGCCGCAUGCACUUUCCGCUGGUAGAGUGCCACAACCGAUUUGGCGAUGGCGACAAGCUCUGAGGGUUGCAGGUGGGGGCGCUUGUGUCCCUACCAGCUCUCACCGUCAAGCCGUCGUCUGGACCGAGGCACCGCCGCCGGCUUCGAGGUCACCCUCCCCUCCUCAUGAGAACGACUGGGAGAGACUGGGCAAACGUGUCUCCCGACCGCUGAUCGGGCAAUUGGCGUGGGGAUGGCCGGGCGCGUAUUGUCAGGGUUAGUGGCGAAGCUGUCGGCACUCCACCCGACCCGUCUUGAA
rnacentral:rRNA from 1 species